rnacentral:rRNA from 1 species
UACAGAGGGUGCGAGCGUUAAUCGGAAUUACUGGGCGUAAAGGGCGCGUAGGUGGUCACUUAAGUCAGAUGUGAAAUCCCUGGGCUUAACCUAGGAAUUGCAUUUGAAACUGAGUGGCUAGAGUAUGGGAGAGGUAAGUGGAAUUUCCGGUGUAGCGGUGAAAUGCGUAGAUAUCGGAAGGAACACCAGUGGCGAAGGCGACUUACUGGCCCAUUACUGACACUGAGGCGCGAAAGCGUGGGGAGCGAACAGG